CCUCUUGAUAAGAGGUCCAGCCUGCCCAGUGACAUUCAACGGCCGCGGUAUCCUAACCGUGCAAAGGUAGCGUAAUCACUUGUCCCCUAAAUAGAGACCAGUAUGAAAGGCAUCACGAGGGCUAAACUGUCUCCUUUUUCUAAUCAGUGAACCUAAUCUCCCCGUGAAAAAGCGGGGAUCCCUCUAUAAGACGAGAAGACCCUAUGGAGCUUAAAACAUAACAAUACCUGCGUUCUUAUUGUGUGUUUUUGGUUGGGGCGACCGCGGAGAAAAACCUAUCCUCCUCAAUGAAAAACAACAAGCUACAACUUUAAGUAUCAAAAAAUUGACAUCCCUUGACCCAAUAAAUUGAUUAAUGAACCAAGUUACCCUAGGGAUAACAGCACAAUCCACUUUGAGAGCUCCUAUCGACAAGUGGGCUUAUGACCUCGAUGUUGGAUUAGGGUAUCCUAGUGGUGCAGCCGCUACUAAAGGUUCGUUUGUUCAACGAUUAAAACCCC
rnacentral:rRNA from 1 species